UCCUAUCAGGGUUUGCAGAAUGUUCUUUCUAGGAGAGUUUUAUGAACAACAGCAUCAGGAGAUAUUACAAUUGAGCUGCCAAUCAUGGAUCAUCCUAUACUGUCUCAGUUUGCUUUGGGGAAUUGUGUUUACUGGCAAAUACUAAAAGAGAGCCAUGUCUAUCUUGGCUCUUCAACAUAUUAAGUUCUUUGUCCUUUUAAUGUAAGAAUACUUUCUUCAUGAAAUAUGCCUUGUGGCAUACCAGUAGAAAUAGUCUGUUUAUUAACUCAGUGGUUUUUGAUGAACAAUGAGUAUCACAUUAAAUGCCAGUAUAGAUAAAUCAAAAUUUAUGUGUGCUCAGAAAAAAUGGUCUAUGAAAGGAAAAGGUCACUCUGAAGAAAACUUAUUAUUUGGCUGCAAUAGUUAUGGGUGAAAUGGCUUUGCAUGGGUAAAUUAAUGAUUUGGCUCCAACAGGUAAUGAUUGGGAAGAAAGCACACCUGUCAGGAGCAGAGCGUGCAUUCAUAAGGAAACAAUUGAAGAAACAUUGUAAGGCUGAGAGUCUGUAGAAGUUGUACAAAAGGUUGUAAUAAAACCCCUGAAAGUUUGAUUUAAUAGGGGAAACAAAAAGGUUUCUCUGUGAUUUUGUGUGGUUUUGCAGGACUUUGGCAGCAGUGCAGUGAACUGGUUAGGUGCAUAAAUAAAAAAUGGGCAAGAAGAUAAAGUAUGUCUUUAGUAGGACAUUUACCUCCUACUUUGUCCAUAGUCACACUGUGCCUGGAUUGCCAAAAAAGAUGCCAAAUUUACUAUCCAGGCUGCAUCAUUUUGAAGACAGAGUCACCAGAUACAUAGAGUUAAAAUAGGACCCACUCUUCCCCAUACCCAGCUACUGAAAGACAAUACAGAAUAAAAUAGGUGAAAGUGUUUUGUGCUUCGAUGAAUUUACACCAAAGAAAGAUUUAAUCAUACUGAAAUUACAGCAAUUACAUAAAGAUGGGGAUAAUGUGGGAAUAUAUAUAUGUAUAUACAUAUAUAUAUUCCCACUUCUAUGCCCAUCCCUCUCUCUCUCUCUCUCUCUCUCUCUCUCUCUCUCUCUCUCUCUCUCUCUCUCUCUCUCUUUCUAUCUAUCUCUAUCUCUCUAUCUAUCUAUGACUUUAUAUCUACCUUCUCCCAUGGUCCCAGAAAUAGCCUUAGAGAUCAAUUAUGAGUUUCCUCUGAAAGUGUCUCCAUUCAUAUAUAGUUUACUGAGAGUUUGUUUCCAGCACCCACAUACUACAAUUCACAAUUGCUUGUAACUACAGUUUCAGGGAACUUGAAACUCUCUGGUCUCCACAAGCAUCUGUACUCACAUAGUACACAUAAAUCUAUGACGGUCCACAUACGUAUAAAAUAAAUAAAUCUUUAUAAAAAUUUGGGGAUUUAGAAGAAGUCUUUAGAUAUUUGGAAACACAUUUCCUUGGGUAAUAUAAGAACAGUUACUUCUAUGCACUCACUGAUAAGUGGAUAUUAGCCCAAAAGCUCCAAAUAACCAGGAUACAAUUCAUAGACCUCAUGAAGCUCAAUAAAAAGGAAGGCCAAAGUGUGGGUGCUUCAGUCCUUUUUAGAAGAAGAACCAAAUACACACAGGAGCAAAUAUGGAGAUAACGUGUAGAGCAGAGACUAAAGGAAAGGCCACCCAGAGAAGGUUCCAUCAGAGGAUUCAACCCAUAUACAGUUACCAAAGCCAGAUACUACUGUGGAUGCCAAGAAGUGCUUGCUGAAAGGAGCCUGAUAAGCUGUCUCCUGAGAGGCCCUGCCAAAGCCUUACAAAUACAGAGGCAGAUGUUAGCACCCAACCAUUGGAUUUAAUACAGGAUCCCUAACAGAGGAGUUAGAGAAGGGACUGAAGAAGUUGAAGGGGUUUGCAACCCCAUAGGAAGAACAACAAUAUCAACCAACCAGACCCCCCAGAACUCCCAGAAACUAAGCCAUCAAUG
rnacentral:lncRNA from 1 species